UUUGACCUCAAAUCAGGUAGGAUUACCCGCUGAACUUAAGCAUAUCAAUAAGC
rnacentral:rRNA from 2 species